UCAUAAUCAGUGAAAACGAGUAGGGCGGGACACGUGAUAUCCUGUCUGAAUAUGGGGGGACCAUCCUCCAAGGCUAAAUACUACUGACUGACCGAUAGUGAACCAGUACCGUGAGGGAAAGGCGAAAAGAACCCCUGUGAGGGGAGUGAAAUAGAACCUGAAACCGUGUACGUACAAGCAGUAGGAGCACCUUCGUGGUGUGACUGCGUACCUUUUGUAUAAUGGGUCAGCGACUUAAUUUUAGUAGCAAGGUUAACCGUUUAGGGGAGCCGUAGGGAAACCGAGUCUUAACUGGGCGUACAGUUGCUAGGAUUAGACCCGAAACCAGGUGAUCUAGCCAUGGGCAGGUUGAAGGUUGAGUAACAUCAACUGGAGGACCGAACCGACUAAUGUUGAAAAAUUAGCGGAUGACUUGUGGCUAGGGGUGAAAGGCCAAUCAAACCUGGAGAUAGCUGGUUCUCCCCGAAAGCUAUUUAGGUAGCGCCUCGGACGAAUACUACUGGGGGUAGAGCACUGUUAAGGCUAGGGGGUCAUCCCGACUUACCAACCCUUUGCAAACUCCGAAUACCAGUAAGUACUAUCCGGGAGACACACGGCGGGUGCUAACGUCCGUCGUGGAGAGGGAAACAACCCAGACCGCCAGCUAAGGUCCCAAAGUAUAGCUAAGUGGGAAACGAUGUGGGAAGGCUCAGACAGCCAGGAUGUUGGCUUAGAAGCAGCCAUCAUUUAAAGAAAGCGUAAUAGCUCACUGGUCGAGUCGGCCUGCGCGGAAGAUGUAACGGGGCUAAGCUAUACACCGAAGCUGCGGCUACGUACCUUAGGGUAUGUGGGGUAGGGGAGCGUUCUGUAAGCCGUUGAAGGUGUGCUGUAAGGCAUGCUGGAGGUAUCAGAAGUGCGAAUGCUGACAUGAGUAACGAUAAAGGGAGUGAAAAACUCCCUCGCCGGAAGACCAAGGGUUCCUGUCCAACGUUAAUCGGGGCAGGGUAAGUCGACUCCUAAGGCGAGGCCGAAAGGCGUAGUCGAUGGGAAACGGGUUAAUAUUCC
rnacentral:rRNA from 1 species